rnacentral:rRNA from 1 species
UAGCCGUAAACGAUACUCGCUAGGUGUCGGCCACGGUGCGACCGUUGUCGGUGCCGUAGGGAAGCCGUGAAGCGAGCCACCUGGGAAGUACGGCCGCAAGGCUGAAACUUAAAGGAAUUGGCGGGGGAGCACCACAACGGGUGGAGCUUGCGGUUUAAUUGGAUUCAACGCCGGAAAUCUUACCGGGACCGACAGCAAUGUGAAGGCCAGGCUGAAGACUUUGCCGGAUUAGCUGAGAGGAGGUGCAUGGCGUGUGACUGU